rnacentral:lncRNA from 1 species
CUUUGUUGGAUCAUUGUGUGUUGUAUGUAUGUUUCAAGGUGUGCAUGUGCAAGUGUCUCCAGUGUCUCCUUGUGAUUUGUCCCCCAAUGCCUUCGUUGGAUUUUAGGAGUAAGUUUUUGUCGCCUUAUUUAGUUCUUUUUUUUCGUCCUGCAUUUGGUCUUUUUCUUUGUUUAACCCUACAAGGGCGUCACAUAUUUCAUGUUUCAUGUGUUCUUAGAGGAGAUUUAAAGGCAAAGCUGAUCUUUGAACUGAUGGUCAUAACCAUAACCAGGAGCUUUAAAGGGGGAAAAAAAACUCUUUGCACAUUUAAGAAAUUUAUACUUGCAUUAAAGUGUGACAGGAUUCAAUAUUGGCUCCAGUUUCAGAGAGCUGAGAAGUUUAUAAAAGAAGUAAAGGGUCUUCACUGUGAGUGAGGAUUUAAAACCCACUCAGACUGAGCUGUUCCCACAGGUAAGUGACCACAGGUGUGAUAUGUGGAUGUAUAAAACUGUGUGUGACCUGAGAUGAAGAGGAGUUUCAGGGACUGUUGUCACAUUUAACACACUUUAAGCCUCUUUACACACACAGGUACAGGUUACACAGGUGUGCAGACCUGUUUUACCUGAUGUGUUAGGACGUCCUUCGCUUUGUCACACCUGUUAUCCGAGGACUCGCUGCAUUGUGAUAAUUUGUGAGAGCAUGAGGCUGAACUUUAAUCAUCAAAACUUGACACAACUUCAGUCCAGGAGGAAGUUUAGCAGAUAUGAGGAUUUGUAAAAGUUUGUUUUGAAUGAAAAGUACCGUGUUAACAUGCUGAUAAGAGUUUUAUCUCUUAGACUCAGCUUUACAGGAUUUUGAACUUUCAUUUCAUCCUUUUUUUUGGCACUCAGCAUCAAUAUAAACUCAUACACUCAAAUAUCUGCAUCCUAAAAAAUAUCUAUCUCCUAUUAUCAGUCAUUUAAUUCUUAUUUAUUGGUAAAAUCUCAUCCAUGUGUGAGAGCACGACUGAUUUUCUGAUUAAUGUCCGCUUCUGUGCCAGUUUUGGCGAACUAAUCCACUCAGUUGAAGUGGUAAAAACACGUCUGUUUCCUCACUUUGAGAACAUUUCUCACAGCCGUAGUGACGAAUAAUGAGAGCACAAUAACAUCCAGCGAAUGCUCAUCUCCGAGCACAAACACUCAAAGUCAUUAAAAAACUACACAGAGACGGAUGCGUCGUUUGAAACCAGAUGCUCUGUGGGCUGAGCCUCGACACUGAUUAACUGUUAUAAACUGCUCCGUCUCCCUACACAGAAACAUCCUACCGACAAGAUGAUGGUGUUAAUUUACCGACAUCAUUUAGAUAAAGGGGAGGCGCAGCUUACACAAACAGAUGUGGUCUGUGUGGGACUGUAACACAACUAUAGCAGUUUCUUUCAUUACGAUACAGGAUACAGUUAAAGCUACUCAAUCACAUCAAGUAUGAAUCAAAUUCACACUGUGAUGUAAAACAAAAUGUAGGAAUUAAGGUUUUCUCGUGAAACAAGUAGAUAAAAUAUGCAAAAAGGCGUAAUAGAGCUCAAGGGAACUGCUGAGUCUGGUUGCCGAGCUCUCUUGAAUACCUCGCUGUGAUUCUCAGUCUUGUUACUGUCACGAGUGAUUUUAGACAUCAAGCGAAGUUCGUGUUUUGUUUGUCUAUCACGACUUGGAAAACCUCACAGCAGCCUCUGACAGUUUAUUUUAACACACUCCCUGUUAAAAAGCAUGGUAUGUAAGUCAGACUGGAGGAUAUCAACACUGUCAGCAAAGGAGGAAAGAAAACAUCAAAACAAAGCCCCAAGGCUGUUUAGUGAACCGUCUAAGGUCUUUAAUUAAAUCAUGUCUAAGAAUAAAGUUUGUUGAAUUGUUUGACAGAUCCUUUUAAAACUCUCUCAGCCACUGUCGAGGGAUCUGUCAUGUUUAUUCGACACUUUCCCCCCUCGUCACGUUACAUAAUCUUGCUAAAUCAACUAUUGAUGCAGCAGCAAUUUGGGCAGUCAGCACUUAAUCAUAAUUACCAAAGCAGCAACAUAAAUCAUUCUGAUUAAAAUAAACACCAACUGAAAGUAUAUGUCAGCUUCAAUACAUCUCUGAGACGCCAUUUUUAUGAAUGGGUUUACAAAACAAACGAGUGUAGAAACAGGUGUCUCUAAUGGAGCUGAUCACAGUGUGAUCGAAAAAUCGUUUUUUCAGUGAUUUUUUUUUCUUCUCUUCCGUCAUUUUAAGGUUUUAUGAAAAGUGUUAAAGGGAUAUUCCGGCGUAAAAUUAAUUUAGGGUCAAACACACCGUAACACGGGAGAUAAAUGUUGCACGAUAGCAAUACACAGUGGUCUGAGGAGCCAUAAACAAACCUCAACCAAAAUGCCACUCUAUAGCCACAAAUAAUGCUCAGAACAGCACCUAACUUCAUCAACAGUACAUAUAGGGUCCCAGCCAUAGUACUAGCAACGAAACAUCUUUUUAACUUUACCUAAUUUCUUAUUAAAGAGAUUAAACACAACUCACCUACUCUCUUCCAGCAGCCGCUUGUUUGUAGCAAGAGCUCGGGAUAGUCCAUUACAGACUACAGUGGGGUGACGCAGCUCAAGGAAGAACAUUUAUGAUCAUUUCUUUAUCAUUUCCAUGAAGUAAUAAUCAUCAUAUUUUGCACUGCAGACGCUGUAGUUCUUCUGCCUUAGCGUCUCUUAAAAAAAGAAAAAUUAGUCAAAGUUAAAAAGAUGUUUGGUGUCUAGUACUAUGGCUAGGACCCUAUAUGUCCUGUUGAUGAAGUAAGGUGCUGUUCUGAGCAUUAUUUGUGGCUAUAGAGUGGCGUUUUGGUUGACAGAAGCCCUGUUUGAGCAAAUAUAUUUGACUUCUACUUUAAUUUAAAUUGACCUAUGACCCAUGUUACAACAGUUAACAUGGGGAAGGUGCAGAUUAUGAACAAUACUGCAGCCAGUCAGCAGGGGGAGCUCUAAAUCUUUGGCCUCAUAGAUGGUGAACACUUGUGACACCUGUUUUAAUAUACAGUCUAUGUUCAGAGCUCGUUUUGAAGAUGAAAGAUCAUGUUUCUAGUGACAUACAAAUUUUUAUUUUUUUUAAAGUACUUUUUGGGGCGAUUUUUGCCUUUUUAUUGAUCGAACAGAGUGAAAUCUGGGAAGAUAGAGAGAGAGAGAGAGAGAGGGGGAGGACAUGCAGCACAUGGUCGGGGCCAGACUCAAACCUGCGACCGCUGCGGGGACCGUGAUCUCUGUACAUGGGGUGCACUAACCUGCUCGGCCAUCUGCGUGCCCCGUGACAUACGAAACUUAAGAUGUCAUCAGUGCUUCAUAGAACCUAAGAGGAGUACAGGUCAGAGGUUAAAGUACUUCAGAGAGAUUUCAUUAAAAUUUAUUAUGUCUUUACCUUACUCAGAGCACAAAUAAACUACUGAAAUAGAUGAUCUGUCCCAUUAUAAGACAACUAAUAUAACAAAAACAAAGAAAAACUAAGAAGUAAAGUCAUCAUCCUUGGGAAAUACCAAAUCUGACUCUUCUUUCUUUAGACAUUUUCUUAAAUUGCAAUCAUUCAUUCAACUCUUUAAAUCCUUAUCUAGAGUUUACCACCUUAAGUAUGUCUAAUGCACUGGAGUCUUUAUAGUCCUCUACAUUUACAUUUGUAUUUUUGAGCUCAGCCUUUCUUUUUUUGCUGAACUGCAGUUCCGCCUCUCACCAGUAGAAGGAGCAGUUCACCAAGGUAAAAACUGGUCUCAUGAGGAGGGGAAGCUUUACCCUGUCCUCCUCGUCAGGUCUCAUGAGGAUAGCGUGUGUACAGGAUAUAAUGUGAGUGUGUGUGUGUGUGUGUGUGUGUGUGUGUGUGUGUGUGUUUUCUGAGAUGAAGCAGAGGUCGGGUACUGUCGAGGAGUCACACUGACGGCUGGAGUGAAAACAAAAGGGCCCUGGAGGACAGUGGGAAGAUUUUUGACUUACAGGGAAAAAUCAUGCUUGAUGGCAUGAUUCCCAAAGUGCUUUUCUGACAUCCCAGGAUAUUGAUGUCUGUAUUUCAGAGCUGGAUCUUGACUGUGAUGUUAUUUUUUACCUCUAACCUCCAGCGCUGUUUUGUCAGGUUGAUGAUGUAGAAGGAAAACAACUUGACUCCCUGGCUGCACACCAACACUUCCUCUUCUGUCCCAAAGAUGACAAAUGACUCAGAGGCAGAGAGAGUGAUGUCAACCUAAAAAGAGGAUCCACCGACUCCAGGAGAACAUCCCCGUCCGAGCGCAGGAGCUGGCGUCUGCCGGGCACAGUCAGCAACAAAUACUGAAUUAAUAAGAUCACAGGCUUUUGUGGAUGUAAGCAUACUGUAUGAUUUAGUGUCUGCUGACUGAAUAUUUAGCCGUUUUUUAAGGUUUCUGGAAAGUGAUGAAGUAACCCAGGU